rnacentral:rRNA from 1 species
UGGGGAAUAUUGGACAAUGGGCGCAAGCCUGAUCCAGCCAUGCCGCGUGAGUGAGGAAGGCCCUAGGGUUGUAAAGCUCUUUCACCGGUGAAGAUAAUGACGGUAACCGGAGAAGAAGCCCCGGCCAACUUCGUGCCAGCAGCCGCGGUAAUACGAAGGGGGCUAGCGUUGUUCGGAUUUACUGGGCGUAAAGCGCACGUAGGCGGACUUUUAAGUCAGGGGUGAAAUCCCGGGGCUCAACCCCGGAACUGCCUUUGAUACUGGAAGUCUUGAGUAUGGUAGAGGUGAGUGGAAUUCCGAGUGUAGAGGUGAAAUUCGUAGAUAUUCGGAGGAACACCAGUGGCGAAGGCGGCUCACUGGACCAUUACUGACGCUGAGGUGCGAAAGCGUGGGGAGCAAACAGG